GGGCCCGUGGCGGAACGGCAGACGCAGCGGACUUAAAAUCCGCGGGAGAGCGAUCUCCAUGUGGGUUCGACUCCCACCGGGCUCA
rnacentral:tRNA from 1 species